UACAAUAAAAGUAACAUAUUCUUAGUCAGCGAACAACUUUAAACGUUUGCGAUAAAUGUAAUUUUAUUGAAAUAUAACAGUUUGUGACAUAUUAAAAAAAGUUACAAAUCUACAAUGCCGUCGUCUAUGGAAAUGAUAGAGUUGUAUGUAUGACAACGCUCAACUUGGAAUCUUGCAGCAUGUUGGAAACAUCCAUCAUUUCCUUGUGGUCUACUUCGGUUUUCUGUACCGCAAGACAUACUUUUACUGCCUGCUGUCAACCCCCAAUGACCAUAUGGGCUUCUCUCCAGGGGUGGCCGAGAAGAUGGUCCUAAACUUUUAAAGGUAGACUCAGUAAGAUUGUCAUCAAACAACAGACAUCAACCCAGACUGCAAUCACUGUUACUAGCUGACUUCUACCCGGUACUCAACCCUGCUCCUUAGAGACUGUCGUUGAACAAUGUUUACUUUAAUUAUGUUAACACAGUUUUACCUACUUUGUGUGUGUGUGUGUGUGUAUAUAUAUAUAUAUA